rnacentral:rRNA from 1 species
AUGGCGUCCUCCUCGUCCCAUCGCAGGGCCGGCGCUCCGCUCCUCCUGCUGCUCUUCUGCUGCAUUUCCACGGUGGUCACCGCGCAGUCCCAGUCGCAGCCGCAGACGACGCUGCAGUCCUCGCAGGCCAAGGCGCUCUACCGCGUGUGCCGCCUCCUGGGCUUCCCGCCGGCGCUGGCCGCGCUCGUCAAGUCCCCCGACCCCUGCGCGCUGCGGCCCACGCCGUCGCUCGCCGUGGCCUGCUCGGCCGGCCAGGUCACGGCGCUCUCCGUGCGCGGCGACCACCGGCCCGACCCGGCGUGGCGCACCGCGCUGCCGUCCAACUUCUCCGCCGACGCGCUCUUCACCACGCUCACCCGCCUCCCGGCGCUCUCCAACCUCUCGCUCGUCGCGCUCGGCCUCUGGGGCCCGCUCCCGGGCGCCAAGCUGCUCCGCCUCGGCGCGCUGCAGGCGCUCGACCUCAGCGCCAACUACCUAUACGGCGGCGUGCCCGAGCAGGUGGCGCGCAUGUACUCGCUGCAGAGCCUCGUGCUGUCCGGGAACUGGCUCAACGGCACCGUGCCGUCCCUCUCCGGGCUCGCCUUCCUCCACGAGCUCGACCUGGGCCGGAACAGGCUCGACGGCGCGUUCCCGGAGGUGGGGAAGGCGGUGGCGAGCCUCGUCCUCGCCGACAACAACUUCACCGGGAAGAUCCCGGCGGAGGUGGCCUCUCUCGGCCAGCUCCGGUUCCUGGACGUGUCACGGAACCGGCUGGAGGGGUGGAUCCCCUCCGCCAUCUUCGCGCUCCCCGCGCUGCGGCACAUCAACCUGUCGCACAACAAGCUCUCCGGGCAGCUGCCGGCGAGCACGGCGUGCGCGGACGCGCUGGAGUUCGUCGACGUCUCCGCCAACCGGCUCAUCGGCGCGCGCCCGGCGUGCAUGCGGUCCAACUCGUCGGCGCGCACGGUGCUCGACGCGGGCAAUUGCUUCCGCGACGCGAAGCUGCAGCGGCCGAGCACCUACUGCAGCCCGGGGGCGCUCGCCGCCCUGCUGCCGCCGCCGCAGGGGAGCGGCGCCGAGCAGGGUGGGGGCAAAGGUGGCGGGGUGGGGAUGGUUCUUGGCAUUGUGGGCGGCGUCGUGGCAGGCGCGUUGCUUAUCGCGGUGGUGAUGGUGGUGGUGCUGAGGAGGGUGAGGAAGCAGCACCCCGGGGUGAUGGCCUCGCCCAAGUCGCCGUUGAUAACGCCGGCGAAGAAGGGGGGCGGUGCAGCGAAGGUGGCCCAGAAGAUUGCCACCCCUGCCGAUAAGAGGCACGCAUCCCAAGCCGCCAUGGUAAAUACGCUGGAAGUACCAGCGUAUCGCGUAUAUACCGCGGAGGAGCUCCAAGAAGCCACGGACAACUUUGCAUCCUCCAACUUGAUCAAGAAGAGCCCCCUUGCACAGCAUUACAACGGCCAGCUUCAAGAUGGCACAAGAGUUUUGGUGAAAUGUCUCAGACUAAAGCCAAAGUAUUCUGCUCAGAGCCUGUCCCAUUACAUGGAGAUAAUUUCUAAGUUCCGCCACCGCCACUUGGUUAGCAUCAUUGGCCAUUGCAUUGUCAAUGACCAGGAAAAUCCUACUGUUGCUAGCUCGGUAUACCUCGUUUCUGAAUGCGUAACAAAUGGAUCUCUAAGAAGCCACCUUACCGAGUGGAGGAAGCGCGAAAUGCUGAAAUGGCCGCAGCGGGUUACUGCUGCCAUUGGUAUCGCGAGAGGGAUCCAGUUCUUGCACAAUGUGACUGCCCCAGAAAUUGUACAGAAUGAUCUCAACAUUGAAACUAUUCUGCUGGACAAGACCCUCACGUCGAAAAUUAGUGACUUCAGUCUCCCCAUGAUAUCAACCAGCAAGAAUGGCAAGCUAUUCUCUGAAAACCCUUUCGCUGUCGACGGGGAAAACGACCAUGGCAGCGCUCAACCUGCAGAACAUGGGGACAGGGAUGACAUAUACCAGUUCGGCCAAAUCCUUCUCGAGGUGAUCACAGGCAAACCAACGGCGUCGCAAAGCGAGCUGGAAUCCCUCAGAGCUCAGCUGAGCGAGGCCCUGGCCGAAGACCCGGACAUGCUGAAAGACAUGGCCGACCCGACGAUCCGCGGCACGUUCGCGGUGGACUCCCUGAGCAAGGUGACUGAGGUGGCCCUCAACUGCACGGCCGGUGACCCGAGCGAGCGGCCUUCCGUCGACGACGUGCUCUGGAACCUGCAGUACUCCAUGCAGGUGCAGGACGGGUGGGCGAGCAGCGAGAGCUUGAGCUUGAGCGUCAAAUCACAGGCGCAGUGA